GUCGACUUGGAGGUUGUGCCCUUGAGGCGUGGCUUCCGGAGCUAACGCGUUAAGUCGACCGCCUGGGGAGUACGGCCGCAAGGUUAAAACUCAAAUGAAUUGACGGGGGCCCGCACAAGCGGUGGAGCAUGUGGUUUAAUUCGAUGCAACGCGAAGAACCUUACCUGGUCUUGACAUCCACGGAAGUUUUCAGAGAUGAAAAGGUGCCUUCGGGAACCGUGAGACAGGUGCUGCAUGGCUGUCGUCAGCUCGUGUUGUGAAAUGUUGGGUUAAGUCCCGCAACGAGCGCAACCCUUAUCCUUUGUUGCCAGCGGUCCGGCCGGGAACUCAAAGGAGACUGCCAGUGAUAAACUGGAGGAAGGUGGGGAUGACGUCAAGUCAUCAUGGCCCUUACGACCAGGGCUACACACGUGCUACAAUGGCGCAUACAAAGAGAAGCGACCUCGCGAGAGCAAGCGGACCUCAUAAAGUGCGUCGUAGUCCGGAUUGGAGUCUGCAACUCGACUCCAUGAAGUCGGAAUCGCUAGUAAUCGUGGAUCAGAAUGCCACGGUGAAUACGUUCCCGGG
rnacentral:rRNA from 1 species